CCUCCAACCAGUUGCGUUGUGGAUAAUGCUGUUACACACUGUGUGCGGCUUUUGCCUAUUGAGAUGCCUGUCCAAAUCUGUCGCUGUCCACCUGAGGCAUUGAGGGUCAUCCAAGGAAAGUCAGUUGCUUUGGUCACAAUGAAUGGGCGGUAUGAUCUCAACAUGCCAGAGCUAAGCUGCGAG